GCACGAGUGGCGAAAUAGGUAGACGCGCCAGAUUUAGGAUCUGGUGGGCGAAAGCCCGUGGGGGUUCGAUUCCCUCCUCGUGCACCA
rnacentral:tRNA from 1 species